rnacentral:SRP_RNA from 1 species
GUCAGCCCCUCGUGUGGCGGCAUCUCGCCCAACUCCCCCAGGGCCGGAAGGCAUCAAGGGUAAGUGAGCUCUGCUGGGUGCGCGAGGGGUCUCUUGC